AAGGCUCUAAAGUGACCACUACCCAUAACCAGGUCCAAUUAACUAAACAAAUCAGAAAAAUAAAAGCUAAGACAAAUCUAGAACUCAAAAUUGGAAACAAUGUCCCGAUGAUUUACUCAGAACUCCACACCUAUUCUUUGGCCAGCCUCCGAUGAGACGACGCUCCCACAGCUCCCUCAGCUCCACCAAUCAACUAAGCUUAUCAAAACACCCAAGUUCAGAAUGAAAUUUUUUUUUCCGUUAAAAAAUCUCACUGACGCCAAGAUUCACUCUAAUGAAUACUUCUUCAACUUGUGUGGUAAAGAUCUAGGUUGUAGUAGAUGAAAGAGGUGGUCAAGAACAAUCGCCAGGAAAUCAUACUUGAGCUCGCAUCAGGGGUAAGCAUCCGAAGAUUAUCCAAGCUGAAAUUAUCGAUCUAAGGGACGGACGACACUCACGACCAUCCUCUUCAUGUCUAGAGUUUCUUUAGAUAUCAAGGAGUUGGUGAGUUCUCAUUCUAUCGUGGACAUGACUUUUAUUCUCGUUGUUUACUUGACUUUUCUUCUAUUGUUUUGGGUGAGCUAGGAGCUUGUCCUAAGCCCCCAUCAAAGACUAUACUAGAGGCAUGUUUAGACGAUGAUUUGAUGUAGUCCAUUUGGGCGUCGAUUAAGUAUUUAUAUCCCUUAGACCCAUU